GAUGAACGCUAGCGGCAGGCUUAACACAUGCAAGUCGAGGGGUAUAGUUCUUCGGAGCUAGAGACCGGCGCACGGGUGCGUAACGCGUAUGCAAUCUACCUUUUGCAGAGGGAUAGCCCAGAGAAAUUUGGAUUAAUACCUCAUAGUAUGUGAGAAUGGCAUCAUUUUCACAUUAAAGUCACAACGGCAAAAGAUGAGCAUGCGUCCCAUUAGCUUGUUGGUAAGGUAACGGCUUACCAAGGCAACGAUGGGUAGGGGUCCUGAGAGGGAGAUCCCCCACACUGGUACUGAGACACGGACCAGAAUCCUACGGGAGGAAGAAGUGAGGAAUAUUGGACAAUGGGCGCAAGCCUGAUCCAGCCAUGCCGCGUGCAGGAUGACGGUCCUAUGGAUUGUAAACUGCUUUUGUACAGGAAGAAACACUGGUUCGUGAACCAGCUUGACGGUACUGUAAGAAUAAGGAUCGGCUAACUCCGUGCCAGCAGCCGCCGUAAAAC
rnacentral:rRNA from 1 species